rnacentral:rRNA from 1 species
GAUGAACGCUGGCGGCGUGCCUAAUACAUGCAAGUCGAGCGAACAGAUGAGGAGCUUGCUCCUCUGACGUUAGCGGCGGACGGGUGAGUAACACGUGGAUAACCUACCUAUAAGACUGGGAUAACUUCGGGAAACCGGAGCUAAUACCGGAUAAUAUAUUGAACCGCAUGGUUCAAUAGUGAAAGACGGUUUUGCUGUCACUUAUAGAUGGAUCCGCGCCGCAUUAGCUAGUUGGUAAGGUAACGGCUUACCAAGGCAACGAUGCGUAGCCGACCUGAGAGGGUGAUCGGCCACACUGGAACUGGGACACGGUCCAAACUCCUACGGGAGGCAGCAGUAGGGAAUCUUCCGCAAUGGGCGAAAGCCUGACGGAGCAACGCCGCGUGAGUGAUGAAGGUCUUCGGAUCGUAAAACUCUGUUAUUAGGGAAGAACAAAUGUGUAAGUAACUAUGCACGUCUUGACGGUACCUAAUCAGAAAGCCACGGCUAACUACGUG